AGCACCUGUUUGCAGAGGCCAGGUUUUUUGUUUUGUUUGUUUUUUUAAGGGAAACUUUUUCUACUUCAGCAUUCCUUUUUCAGGACACAGACUCACAAUCCCUUCCACUCGUGCAGUGUUCAUCACCACGUUCUGCAGAGGCUGAGGAAGGUGGUGAAGAUGGAGAAGGUACCGAGAAGAUGAGGAACUGCUAAUGAUCUCUUAUCAACUACAUUUUAUUAGAAAGCUGGUGAUAUACGGAGGGGGCAGGCCCUUGUCUAACAUUUGCAGGAUCCAAGAUUUAUGUGCUGCAGGAUGCUGAGCCUAGAAAGUAUGAAAUCACAAGUAGUCGGGGCCCCUAAAGAAGGAUGCAGAAUGACUGCUUCCAGAAAAAUGGGUUUGAGGGAAAGUGAAAUCCAUGUGGAGAUAAGGUCCAUCAAGUAAAGCUGACUGCCCUGGAUAUUUGCAGCUGAUGCCAUAUUCACCUCUACUCUUCCCAUCCACUGGAGAUUCAUGAGUCACCAACAUCAGUUAGCAAACUGUGCUUCUACCAACGAGGCAUGUAUCUUGGGCAGAGCUAGCUCAUGCGGAAGCGGUGUGUACCCUCCGUUCCAGCCUGGCUCUGCCUCUCUCUACCGCUUCCUCUACUCUUCAGAAGCUAUCUGACUGCCCUGCAUGUAUUUAUAAAACAGAGGCAGUAAUGGUAACACCUGACACCUGUUUCAAAGAAUGAAGGUCCCCUGUAAAGAUGAGCACCCAAUUACAAGCUCCUUUUGGAAUCAAUCAAAAGUUAUUAAGUGACAGAGUUUAUCUGAUACACAAAUAAACAUUUCUCUCCGUUUUGACGACUCAGACAUAAACUUUAGGGUUGACAACAGCAUUCCAUGAGUUAAUGCAUACAUACUAGCUAUGAUAUCACAAAUUAUUGAAAUGUUGUAGCUUAAGGUCCAAAUUAUUACAAUUUGUUAAAAACAGACUUGCAUGAGAAAUUAAAAUAUAAUAAUAAAAUGCUUAAUUAU